GCGUCGAGCGGCGAACGGGUGAGUAACGCGUAGGAAUCUGCCUGAUAGUGGGGGAUAGCCCGGGGAAACCCGGAUUAAUACCGCAUACGCCCUAAGGGGGAAAGGCCGGGAUCUUCGGACCGGUCACUAUUGGAGGAGCCUGCGUAGGAUUAGCUAGUUGGUGAGGUAAAAGCUUACCAAGGCGACAAUCAAUAGCUGAUUUGAGAGGAUGAUCAGCCACACUGGGACUGAGAUACGGCCCAGACUCC
rnacentral:rRNA from 1 species